rnacentral:rRNA from 1 species
GAUGAACGCUGGCGGCGUGCUUAACACAUGCAAGUCGAACGAAGCACUUUAUUUGAUUUCCUUCGGGACUGAUUAUUUUGUGACUGAGUGGCGGACGGGUGAGUAACGCGUGGGUAACCUGCCUUGUACAGGGGGAUAACAGUUGGAAACGGCUGCUAAUACCGCAUAAGCGCACAGCAUCGCAUGAUGCAGUGUGAAAAAGUCCGGUGGUAUAAGAUGGACCCGCGUUGGAUUAGCUAGUUGGUGAGGUGACGGCCCACCAAGGCGACGAUCCAUAGCCGACCUGAGAGUGUGACCGGCCACAUUGGGACUGAGACACGGCCCAAACUCCUACGGGAGGCAGCAGUGGGGAAUAUUGCACAAUGGGCGAAAGCCUGAUGCAGCGACGCCGCGUGAGCGAAGAAGUAUUUCGGUAUGUAAAGCUCUAUCAGCAGGGAAGAUAAUGACGGUACCUGACGAAGAAGCACCGGCUAAAUACGUG